UAGGCAGUGAAAUCACUUUUUCUUCCUAAAUAUGGCUCUAAGAUUACCUAUCCCUUAUAAUCACCUAUGAAAAGAUUUCCUGAUGAAGAAUAGUGUAUUGAGCUUGAGCAUUUCACUAUGAGGAAAAAAAAUGCAUCUUGCAAGCUGCUUAAAAUGCAGAGUGCCCAUUUUAUGUAUGUUCUACUACUGUAAGUUUUCUGGAAAGACACAAAAUGUGAGCAGGGUGAAAAAGGAAGACUUAACGAUCUGGCCAAGUCACCACAGUUCCCCAUGUAAGAUGUCCACCCUGAAUGCAUGUGUGACUCAUAUGGAAAUGGAGCUGCAACCACGGGUGUUGCUAGCCAGAGGGAAACUAUGGACCCUGAAGUGAACACAAGUGGAAAGGAGACUUAGAAAGUGUGGAAACUGAUGCCAAAAAUGAUGUGAGAACUUACUGACGUGCUUUUUUAACAACAGUUAAAACAACAACUAGGUCAUAAUAACACUUUUUGCAUACUUCAGGGGAAGGAGGGUGAGUAACACCAGAUUAAUGAGAUACCAAGCAAAAGUGUAAUAUUGAUGAUGACUGAACUAUGUUAGUUGUGAAAUUGUUGAUACUUUUCUUUCAAAAAAAUAAUAUCUGUAAUCGUGCAUUUUGGGAAGAGAAGUUGUGGUAAAUACCAGAAAUGAGUGGUGCUUUAUGCUUUUAUUUAUUUCUUUUUAAGUUUUUGUGACACAUUGUCAAGUCCACUGGGAUAAGUUUUCUUCCUUUAGUACUUGAAUGGAUGGAUAUGAAGGCAAGGGGAAUAUUUUGGAUUAGAAAGGAACACUGAGAAAGAAAGGUACUACACAACUCUGAUUUAUUCUGGAUAACUGACAGUCUGUGGUGUUGUGUCAUUCUGUAUUGAGUGAACAUCUCAGCAAGGGUUCCACCUCCUCUCUGUAAACCUGGUUGUUAAGCCAAUUAAAAGUGCACAGAAUCAGUUGUAA